rnacentral:rRNA from 1 species
GAUUAACGCUGGCGGCGUGCAUAACACAUUCAGGUCGAACGGAAUGGUGGCUUCGGUCAUCAUUUAGUGGCGGACGGGUGAGUAACGCGUGAGCAAUCUACCCUCAGGUGCGGGAUAACAACCGGAAACAGUUGCUAAUACCGCAUGAAGUGGCAGUACCGCAUGGUACAACCAUCAAAGAUUUAUUGCCGGAGGAUGAGCUUGCGUCUGAUUAGAUAGUUGGUGGGGUAACGGCCUACCAAGUCGACGAUCAGUAGCCGGACUGAGAGGUUGAACGGCCACAUUGGAACUGAGAUACGGUCCAG